rnacentral:rRNA from 1 species
GAGGAUGCGAGCGUUAUCCGGUUUUAUUGGGUUUAAAGGGUGCGUAGGCGGACUGUUAAGUCAGCGGUAAAAGCCCGGAGCUCAACUCCGGCGAGCCGUUGAAACUGGUGGUCUUGAGUUGGAGAGAAGUAUGCGGAAUGCGCAGUGUAGCGGUGAAAUGCAUAGAUAUUGCGCAGAACUCCGAUUGCGAAGGCAGCAUACCGGUUCCAUACUGACGCUGAGGCACGAAAGCGUGGGGAUCAAA